CUUGUUGGCGGGCUGGAAGUCGCGGGCAGUCUUGGGGCGCUGGACCAGGAAGCCCAUGAUCUGCACCUGCUUCUGGUUGUCGAAGGCCACCAGGCGCACGUAGGCAUCGGGGAAGGCCUUGGUGCAGGCGACGAUCUCGCGCAGCACCUGCAUGGGGUCGCGGCAGCCGAACAUGGGCAGCUUCCACAUGGUCCAGUAGCGGUUGUCGUAGUACAGCUGCGGGCGCACGGGAAAUGGGAGGGAGAAGAGGUUCAGUCACCAGCGCACAGAACCACCAAAGAUGGAAUUGGGCCCCUUGCUUUUCCGUGCUGAAGCACGAGCAGGGGUAUGCGUCAGUUCCCCGCGGUGAGAUAGGCGCUGUCCCGGUGCCAAGCUAACCCAGUGCCACAGUGGACCCGUCUGGCUCUCGCUCCGACUUACGCAAGACACGCUGCCGAAGCGGAUGGCCGACUCGUUGGACACGUAGGCCUUGUCGGCCUCAGCGAACUCCAGGCAGGGGAUCCAGCCUGCAAGCGACAGCACGAAGGGGGUAAGAUAAGUGGCCGACGCAAGCAGUCCAGGGCUAUCCCAGAUAAGGGCGGAUGACAGGCAAACUAUACAGCAGACAACGAACAAGCUAAUCUCAAGCUUCGAGCGAUCGUAAUGUCGCAGUCUGCAGCUACGCCCUAGAUCGUAUUAACUAGCUCUCAAACACAGCCCAGCUACAUAUGCCCACGGCACCAAGCCGUGCUCACCGUUGGCGACGAUGUAGUCGACCUGGGCGGCGAUCUGCUCGUCGGUCAGAGGAGGCAGGUAGGAGAAGGUCUCGAACAUCCUGCGAUCACGCGAUUGACCAGUACUCGUUAGAAGUGGCAGAGCACGUGCGAUGUGAGGCAGCAGGCUGGGCCCCAAGCAAUUGCGUCGCGACUUGCAGAAUCCCUAUCCUUCGGGCUGCGCUUGCUCGUCGACUCACUUGUUGUUGACCGGGGUCCAGACCAUCAUCUGGUUGGCCUGAGCCGGGGCAGCCACGGGGGCAGCCUUGACGGCGGGCUUCAGCGCGGCCAUGGGGCGCACGCUGGAGCGGGCCGGGCGAGCCACGGCCGCGGAGACGGAGGACUUGGCAAUGACGGCGGCCAUUUUAGAUGUUUGAGAAAGUGGUCGAAUGAACGAGUAAGUUCUUGGGACAAAGACUCGGAGGUGGCCGGUCGCCGUUUUCAAUCCCCGCUCGCCGAUGACCCGUACGGCAGGCUUAUCCGACUCGUCGGCUUUCACGACCGCCCGAGCCUGCGCGCUUCAUCCGCUUCCGGAUAGCUUGCUACGAUAAUGCAUUAUUCAAUUUUACGACGCAAUGUCAUGAGCAGCGCCGGGCGGGCUUAUUUACAUGCGUCGCCUCGCUCGCCGUUGACUUGAUACUUUGGAAAUUCGGGCUCGAUUCGUUGCUACAGCCUGCCUUUUGCACACAAUGUGAACGUCGAUUCUACAUUUGUAUGUGACUGAACUUCGCGGCCCCUACUGAACGUUUCGUGCAAGCGACAUGUCGACUCACAACUUGGAGGAACGCGCGAGGGGUCCCCACACGCACUUUCAGCCUGCUUUGGCGAAAUGGACAUGAUAGGUAUAGCCAGGAUAUGGGUCUGCUAGCUCGCCUGGUGUUUUGACCGUCGAUCGGUUUCGCGUUGGGCCUUGCGGCUGCUCGCUCGCCGCGGAUGCUUCCGCACACUGCGCGGCACGUGUUAGUCUGUGCACGACGACGGUUUGUUUGUAUUGCGCCGCCAACGUUCAACGGUGGUGGUAGGUUCGAAUGUCAGAAUGUCGGGCACGGGGACCUUGGGCGCAUUGCCUACAAGCGCGUGCCUGUGUUUUUGGGGGGCAGAGAAGUGAGCCUGCCUAUUGGGUCACAAUAGCACAGAGGCGGGUGGCCAGCGUCGGGAACUGGUUCAGAACGGCUGCAGGGACAGCACCGUGCGUGCGUGUGUGUGUGGGGGGAGCCUUCAAAGUUGACGAGCUUCGCAGCGCUGGGAUGGACUGGCAUUGCGUGCUUGAGUUUGCGUCCCGUGAGAACCCUGCAGUUUAUGGCGGAGACAGGGAAGAGGGAAUGGGAUCGCGCCGGUGCAGGGAAAGGGCACGAAUCUGAGGUUACGGUAUCUGGGGGGAGGUGCCCAUGUGGGAGGGGAAGCCUAACUGCCUGUCUGGGUGCAGACCAGGAAUGGCAACACGUGAACGGUUAGUAGAGAGCUGUGUGCUGUUGGGCGCUCUCGGCAAGGGGCGUGGGAGGGGGCUGGGUUGGUGGGCGGCUGUCCGCACAGUGCCUAGCAGUGCGCACUCAGGCCCUUCGCAGACCGAAGAGGGCGCCAGGGCCUAUGCGCGCGUGGCUUGGCGUGAGGUUCUUGCUGUUGGCGUCAGGCGCCGCAAAAGGCCGGGUGGCUCUGCAGUGUCCUGCUCGCUUGGCGUGCGGCAAAGUGGUUCAGUCAGCGAGCGCAGUGUAUGCGUGUGUGCGUGUAUGCGUGUGCGUGCGUGUGUGUGUGUGUGUGUGUGUGUGUGUGUGUGUGUGUGUGGUUGCUGCGGAGAGGGCACGCAGCGACACGAGAUUGCCAUGCAGUGGUGCAAGCUGCUGGGGUCGGGUAAACGGGGUGGGAAAGUUGGUGAUGGUGGAAUGUUCUUGUGGCACGAACUGGCCUUGUGCGUAUUCGUUCGCCCCGUUCACUCUGGUCCACCAAUCCCACAGUCACUGCACUUAAAUGCCUAAAAGCCCCUGCUACGGUGCGGACAGGGUAAGGCCACGGCAGGUCUAAGUCCAUAUGCGCCCGUAGAGGUUCGAGUGCGUUAACCGGUCGCAAGGUGUUCACAACAUGUUGAUGUGUUGACAACAUGGCUGUGGUCAAGACGUGCCCUGCGAACUUCCCGUGUUUACAUGUUAAUAGAGCUCGCUGACAGCAGUCAUUUGACACCAUUAUGGAAGAAAACAGAGGGGAUUUAGGGGGUGUACGGCACGGUAUGGCACGGUCGGUCGUCGGUCCGGGGGGUCGGGGGGUUCUGCAGGGUGGGGCCUGGAACUAUUGUUCGUACACCCCCGCCUGGCUCCCCUGCUCCCCCUGACUAACCCCUGACCUCUGGCUUUCUUCGCUUUCCUUUCAGUGUCACCAAUUCUCAUGAGUGGGGGCGCACCCCGAAAUAAGCGGGUACGGUGCUUCAGUUCAGUGCUUGCCACGGCCUCAAGAGCCCCAAACCACGUGCACCGAAAUUCGCUUGCACUCCAAAUGCACUGGGAAGCCAGUAGCAGCGCGCUCUCAAAUGCUGGCAUGUGUCUCUCUCUGUCCAGAGCCUGAAUGCGCCAAGUCUGCUACGGUAGGAGGGUGCAACCCGUGGCCCGCCUUGAACCGCGCUUGCACACACAGCUGGAUUGCUGCUGGCAUGACCGUGUGAAAGAGGUACAGGCAGCCGGGCAAGUCCCAGCGGGCAGGUUGGUGUAGGCUAUGCCCCAUAACAGGCCCGUGCAUGCUGCCACGGACUUCUCGCCAGGAAUGUAAGUCCCGAUGCUAGACAAUUACUCCAGCAGCUGCAUGCCGCCAUCUUCAGUACUCGGUAUCCCUUGGUGCACGCAAGUCAAGGAUCAGUCCCAGGGCUCACCCUGGAGCAAUGCAGCCUGCGUGUGCACCUGCGAUGGAGCCGCGGCCUGCGGUAUUGGCUGCCCGAUUACGAAGCUGCGGGUGGGGGCAGUUGGCACGCAUUCCGCCACAGACCCCGCGAGCCUAGCCGCACCCAAGCUCUAAGCGGCCUAGACCGUGACCAAAGGCGAAGAAGCCGCGGCCAUCCCUGCGCUCAGAUUGCAUUGGUUACAAGAGGGACCUGCUGACGCAGUUCAUGGCUUCAUGCGCUCAGAGCCCGAGCCCUGAGCGGCAGCAAAAGCAGAAGCCACGCUACGUGUGCUAGCUACGACCAAUGCCUUGUACAGCUCUCCUCGGCUGCGCUCUUCGGCUGCGCUCCUCGGCUGCGCGGGACAGGGGACUCCGUGCAACCACUAUUGCUUAUAGCCUGCACCAGUCAUUGACGAGUGUUGCGGAACUAAUGCGUACGUAGACCAGAGCGGAAGGCGGAGUGGGCUUGCAGGCGGCACGAGAGUAGGCAGUCAGUAGCGCAAGUUGCGAAUUCCCAUGUUACCUCGUAACCGACGGUAAACGCUGUGGACGGUCGCGCCCAUGGCUGGCUGACGGAAGCUGGCUGCGGUAUUGGGAUGGCUGGGCUGGAUGACGCCGGCCGGGCUGGCGUUGGGACUACCAGAAAGGAUGCGCCCGAAACCAACCUGGAGAACACCAGCGCCACCGGUGCCCAGCACGACAUGUAAGGGAGGGAGGGAGGGACAGGAGGCGUGAUGCACUGCAGCGUAGAAGCUGCAGUCAUGGGCACAGCUUGUACCAUACAGCACGGUCAUCAAGGACACAAUGCCGGAACGGCAUCAUACGAGGCGGGGUUGGGAGCUGCAGGAAGUGGGCAGCGGGGCAGAAUCAAAGGUUUGCAUCGUUUAGAACAGGUGCGGAACACGCGCCAGCGCCAGCGCGGAGGACCCCAAGUAAGGCCUUUACUCACCAAUGUACGUUUUGUACACCCAAUCUCGCCCCCUAUCGACGUUGGCACUAGGUAGCUGGCUAUCAUUCUAUGCAGAUUAAGCAAAGGGGCACCGGGAACAACUGACUCAUGUUCGUCACUGCAGGUUACUGCAAAUGCUGUCUCCACCUUUGCUGCACGGUUCCGUUUCGUCACGUUUGCUGGUGUUGCUACCCGCCGUUCUUUAGUGUGUAACUGAUCUGCGAACCGAGUCCCCUUCAGCUGAUGAACCCCGCAGCAACUUUUCCAAAAGCGCUUCAAAUACGCCCAGCCCGCCCAUGGAGAAAGAGGCCAAAAUCAACGGAGGAUCGUUACAACCAACAAAAUUGCAAAACUCCUCCGCUUUUUACGUGUUGAAAAAGACUGAUCAGCACGAAACGGGGAGCUAAGCUACCGCUUCAGCACUUGAGAGCAGUAUCUUCCAUCCACCGCCGUUCGUCAGGGGGCAAGGCUCAGAUCAACGAGCGCCUCCAUUUACACGGAGCGCUUGUUGGCGGGCUGCCAGUCGCGGGCAGACUUGGGGCGCUGGACCAGGAAGCCCAUGAUCUGCACCUGCUUCUGGUUGUCGAAGGCCACCAGGCGCACGUAGGCAUCGGGGAAGGCCUUGGUGCAGGCGACGAUCUCGCGCAGCACCUGCAUGGGGUCGCGGCAGCCGAACAUGGGCAGCUUCCACAUGGUCCAGUAGCGGUU
rnacentral:lncRNA from 1 species